rnacentral:lncRNA from 1 species
GUGAAGGAGUACCUCCCUCCUAUGGCUACAGCAACCCCAGGGGAAGGUCAUCAUGGCAAUAGGACCCCGGGGGGGGUGGACCCAGGGGAUUAUUGUGUCAUAUUAUGUCACUGGAGAGUUUGGAGGUGAGAUACAGGAUGGCAGGAAGAAAGCACCCCCAGUUCUACCAUGACAACAACCUUCGGCCAAAGUCCUGUUCACUCUGUAGUAGGUCAUUUCCAGUGAAAAAAUAAAAAAAGAGGCUCAGAAUGGGAGCAUAUGUGCCACUGCGUUGAACAGAAUCAUCCUUUAAAGGCAAUCAUCAUUCAUCAGAAGAAGAAUACAUGUUAGCAGUUGCUCUAAGGGAAAAAACUACUCCAACUGUGCUUUGUAACCAGUUCUGUUCUUGGUCUGUUUUUGCCUGGCUUUCAUUUCUACUGUUCUAGAAACCUCUGAAGCCAAGUACUGGCUUGUUUUUAAUAAUGAUAAGCCUUUCUUUUUAACAAGCCACUCAUUCUUAAAGAUCCCAAGAGCUAUUGUCAAUUUUGAGGACAUUUAUCUUUCAGAGAAUGCUGUUUGGGGAAUGGAAUGUUCCUGUUAUUUAGGAAGUUGAUUUGGGGGAGAAUUUUUAUUCAUCCUUGUUAUUAGAAAUCACAUGAUAAAUGUCUGUUGAUUAUGACAGAAUUAGAAAUGAAGUUCACAAACUAAAUUUCAGGGAGCUAGAAAAGACCACAGAGGAAGUCUAGUCCAACCAUCUCAUUUUACAGAAAAAGAAACUGAGGAUUAGUAAAGCUGGGUGACUUGCCCAAGAUCACAAGAUAAUAUCAGAGGUGGGAUUUGAACUCAGGUACUCUAGAUGCCAGAGGCAAUGAUCUUUCCACCAAAUCACUAUUACCUCCUAAUCCAUUUAGAAUAGAACAGAUUAUCUUUAUCCACAGACACUUGGCCUUUUCCCUCUUUCCUUCCUCUUCUAUAUAACCUAAGAUACCAUAUCUUUAAAUUUUGGGUUUUUGUGCUUUCUAUAAAAUGUAUGCCUGGUAAAGAACAGGGCCUAGUCUUACAGCAAACACAAUGGACAUGUGGGCUUCAUUAGUUUCCAUGAAAUGUCAAAAUGUUGAGAGGUAGGCAAGCCCCCAGCCCUUUGAAUUGAAUAUUGGUAAAGGUUUUAUGGGGGAUAUUAAACUUAGGAAGAGGAUGAAUCAAUCAAUAAGUACCUAUUAAUGCCCAGCUUUGUACCAGAUAUCGUACCAGGCA